CAUGAGAUGUGUUGGACCUGUGACUGCCGGGAGGCCCCCCGGCCCAUUGUGCGGCUGACUCUCGGCGCUUGUGUCCCUUCAGUGUCGUGGGCACCAUGCCCAAUCCUUAACGAGUGCUUGCGUGCUGCUACCUGUUCCUUGGGAAGUUGCAUUUGCUACAUGUUGCCUUCGUCGUGUCCACCCUUUGGGUGCGAUGCGUCGGCUUUAUAGCCAAUUGACGUUGCCUCGUGGUAAUGGUCUUAAUGGCCAAGCCCACCAAGGCUACCUCGCUUGUGCUAUUGGUCCCGGAUGACGCUAACGAUAUAGGAUGAGGCUGCUUCGGCUCCUCUUUCCUCACAAAGUCGGAACCUCUGAAUCAACGACGGUUGACCCGGUUGAUGCCUAGUGCAGAUGCCGUUGUCAGCUUGUCGAGGAGGACGUGCU
rnacentral:misc_RNA from 1 species